UAGUGAGUUUGUAUCCUGGCUCAGGAGUAGAACGCUGGCGGUCGUGCGUUAACGACGAUGCAAGUCGAACGCAAGUAGAAAUACUUGAGUGGCGGACGGGUGAGUAACGCGUGAGAAUCUGCCUUCUGGUCGGGGACAACCACUGGAAACGGUGGCUAAUACCGGAUAUGCCUAUGGGUGAAAGAUUAAUUGCCAGAAGAAGAGCUCGCGUCUGAUUAGCUAGUUGGAGAGGUAAAGGCUCACCAAGGCAUCGAUCAGUAGCUGGUCUGAGAGGACGAUCAGCCACACUGGGACUGAGACACGGUCCCAGACUCCGUACGGGAGGCAGCAGUGGGGAAUUUUCCGCAAUGGGGCGAAAGCCUGACGGAGCAAGACCGCGUGA
rnacentral:rRNA from 1 species